rnacentral:rRNA from 1 species
GAUGAACGCUGGCGGCGUGCUUAACACAUGCAAGUCGAACGAUGAACCUCACUUGUGGGGGGAUUAGUGGCGAACGGGUGAGUAACACGUGAGUAACCUGCCCUUGACUCUGGGAUAAGCCUGGGAAACCGGGUCUAAUACUGGAUACGACCUUCUGGCGCAUGCCAUGUUGGUGGAAAGCUUUUGUGGUUUUGGAUGGACUCGCGGCCUAUCAGCUUGUUGGUGGGGUAAUGGCCUACCAAGGCGACGACGGGUAGCCGGCCUGAGAGGGUGACCGGCCACACUGGGACUGAGACACGGCCCAGACUCCUACGGGAGGCAGCAGUGGGGAAUAUUGCACAAUGGGCGCAAGCCUGAUGCAGCGACGCCGCGUGAGGGAUGAAGGCCUUCGGGUUGUAAACCUCUUUCAGUAGGGAAGAAGCCGGCCUUUGGGUUGGUGACGGUACCUGCAGAAGAAGCGCCGGCUAACUACGUGCCAGCAGCCGCGGUAAUACGUAGGGCGCAAGCGUUAUCCGGAAUUAUUGGGCGUAAAGAGCUCGUAGGCGGUUUGUCGCGUCUGCCGUGAAAGUCCGGGGCUUAACCCCGGAUCUGCGGUGGGUACGGGCAGACUAGAGUGCAGUAGGGGAGACUGGAAUUCCUGGUGUAGCGGUGAAAUGCGCAGAUAUCAGGAGGAACACCGAUGGCGAAGGCAGGUCUCUGGGCUGUAACUGACGCUGAGGAGCGAAAGCAUGGGGAGCGAACAGGAUUAGAUACCCUGGUAGUCCAUGCCGUAAACGUUGGGCACUAGGUGUGGGGGACAUUCCACGUUUUCCGCGCCGUAGCUAACGCAUUAAGUGCCCCGCCUGGGGAGUACGGCCGCAAGGCUAAAACUCAAAGGAAUUGAUGGGGGCCCGCACAAGCGGCGGAGCAUGCGGAUUAAUUCGAUGCAACGCGAAGAACCUUACCAAGGCUUGACAUGAACCGGAAUGAUGCAGAGAUGUGUCAGCCACUUGUGGCCGGUUUACAGGUGGUGCAUGGUUGUCGUCAGCUCGUGUCGUGAGAUGUUGGGUUAAGUCCCGCAACGAGCGCAACCCUCGUUCCAUGUUGCCAGCGGGUUAUGCCGGGGACUCAUGGGAGACUGCCGGGGUCAACUCGGAGGAAGGUGGGGACGACGUCAAAUCAUCAUGCCCCUUAUGUCUUGGGCUUCACGCAUGCUACAAUGGCCGGUACAAAGGGUUGCGAUACUGUGAGGUGGAGCUAAUCCCAAAAAGCCGGUCUCAGUUCGGAUUGAGGUCUGCAACUCGACCUCAUGAAGUUGGAGUCGCUAGUAAUCGCAGAUCAGCAACGCUGCGGUGAAUACGUUCCCGGGCCU